rfam:Myotis brandtii contig171287, whole genome shotgun sequence.
GGCAGUUCUCAGGUGACGCACCCUGGAAUCGGGCUCCCUCUUCUCUGGUUCUGGGUGCAUCCCCCAAGAACCGCA